rnacentral:sRNA from 1 species
GCGGGGCAUGUUGGCACAUGCCUGUAAUCCUAGUGGCUUGGGAGGCUGAGGCAGGCGGAUUGCAAGCUCAAAGCCAUCCUCAGAAAACUUAACAAGGCCAUAAGCAACUUAGUGAGACCCUGUUUCAA